rnacentral:rRNA from 1 species
GUUAAGUAGACCGCCUGGGGAGUACGGUCGCAAGAUUAAAACUCAAAUGAAUUGACGGGGGCCCGCACAAGCGGUGGAGCAUGUGGUUUAAUUCGAUGCAACGCGAAGAACCUUACCUACUCUUGACAUCCAGAGAAUCUAGCGGAGACGCUGGAGUGCCUUCGGGAGCUCUGAGACAGGUGCUGCAUGGCUGUCGUCAGCUCGUGUUGUGAAAUGUUGGGUUAAGUCCCGCAACGAGCGC